GACGAACGCUGGCGGCGUGCUUAACACAUGCAAGUCGAACGGACCCUUUGGGGUUAGUGGCGAACGGGUGAGUAACACGUGGGUGAUCUGCCCUGCACUUUGGGAUAAGCCUGGGAAACUGGGUCUAAUACCGGAUAGGACUACGCACUGCAUGGUGUGUGGUGGAAAGCUUUUGCGGUGUGGGAUGGGCCCGCGGCCUAUCAGCUUGUUGGUGGGGUGAUGGCCUACCAAGGCGACGACGGGUAGCCGGCCUGAGAGGGUGACCGGCCACACUGGGACUGAGAUACGGCCCAGACUCCUACGGGAGGCAGCAGUGGGGAAUAUUGCACAAUGGGCGCAAGCCUGAUGCAGCGACGCCGCGUGAGGGAUGACGGCCUUCGGGUUGUAAACCUCUUUCGCCAGGGACGAAGCGCAAGUGACGGUACCUGGAGAGGAAGGACCGGCCAACUACGUGCCAGCAGCCGCGGUAAUACGUAGGGUCCGAGCGUUGUCCGGAAUUACUGGGCGUAAAGAGCUCGUAGGUGGUUUGUCGCGUUGUUCGUGAAAACUCACAGCUUAACUGUGGGCGUGCGGGCGAUACGGGCAGACUGGAGUACUGCAGGGGAGACUGGAAUUCCUGGUGUAGCGGUGGAAUGCGCAGAUAUCAGGAGGAACACCGGUGGCGAAGGCGGGUCUCUGGGCAGUAACUGACGCUGAGGAGCGAAAGCGUGGGGAGCGAACAGGAUUAGAUACCCUGGUAGUCCACGCCGUAAACGGUGGGUACUAGGUGUGGGUCUCCUUCCUUGGGAUCCGUGCCGUAGCUAACGCAUUAAGUACCCCGCCUGGGGAGUACGGCCGCAAGGCUAAAACUCAAAGGAAUUGACGGGGGCCCGCACAAGCGGCGGAGCAUGUGGAUUAAUUCGAUGCAACGCGAAGAACCUUACCUGGGUUUGACAUGCACAGGACGCCGGCAGAGAUGUCGGUUCCCUUGUGGCCUGUGUGCAGGUGGUGCAUGGCUGUCGUCAGCUCGUGUCGUGAGAUGUUGGGUUAAGUCCCGCAACGAGCGCAACCCUUGUCUCAUGUUGCCAGCACGUUAUGGUGGGGACUCGUGAGAGACUGCCGGGGUCAACUCGGAGGAAGGUGGGGAUGACGUCAAGUCAUCAUGCCCCUUAUGUCCAGGGCUUCACACAUGCUACAAUGGCCGGUACAAAGGGCUGCGAUGCCGUGAGGUGGAGCGAAUCCUUUCAAAGCCGGUCUCAGUUCGGAUCGGGGUCUGCAACUCGACCCCGUGAAGUCGGAGUCGCUAGUAAUCGCAGAUCAGCAACGCUGCGGUGAAUACGUUCCCGGGCCU
rnacentral:rRNA from 1 species